AUUGUGUGCGAACAAAAGAUUUGUAUGAGUAGUAGAGAAAAAUGGAGAUUUCGUUUUUUCUUUGUUGAAUUCAAUCUGUCCCGUUUCCCACUAAUGCUAUCACUUUCGUACGCUGUCUGAAUUGCGCGCAUAACCAUUUACCUAAUAUAACUUUUUCAGUCAUUUGGCAUCUUUGUUAGUAUACGAAUGCGUUUCAUUGCUUACGUACCGGUCUAAAUACCAAAACAAACCGCAGCAAUAAAUAAAUUUUAUUUGAAACCUUGCAACCUUGCAAUAUUCCUGUUUCAGUGAUGACAUAAUUCAAGUUAUACAUUUUUAUAUGAGUGAGUCUAAACGACUAAAUGAUUUUUUUCGCCAAAAUUCAAGUGAAUUUUUUUUAAAUAUUUAUCAAAAUAAAUUUUUCUCCGCUAAUUGAGUUCCUAAUUGUUUCUUCAAUGAAAAUAUUGUAACUCAUUAAAUUGAUUAUCGCAUGAAAAAUAAAUACUUUCUUAAGUUUAAAACUUAAACUACUUUGAAAUAAUAAAGAUGAUGAUGAUUUGACCUAAUUAAAUAUAGAUUUCAUAAAAAUAUCAAAACUCAACCAAUUGAAUUGAAAAAGAAGCUAGAAGAAGUUCGUUUGUUGGAAUCAAGACGUUCUGCUCGCUUGGCCGACUCUGAUACAGAUUUUGCUAAAUUAGCAGACAUGGCAAAUGACCGACGUCGUGCAUCGAACUCAAUUGAUGUUCCUUUGACGCUAACACAAUAUGGCAUUUCAUAUCAAAAAGAAAAUCAUCUCGUAAUUAACACUAGAGUAAAUAAAAAGAAUUACAUUCGUAUUCCCGAACUUUUUCGUACCG